GGUUAAGCGACUAAGCGUACACGGUGGAUGCCCUGGCAGUCAGAGGCGAUGAAGGGCGUGCUAAUCUGCGAUAAGCGCCGGUAAGGUGAUAUGAACCGUUAUAACCGGCGAUACCCGAAUGGGGAAACCCAGUGUGACUCGUCACACUAUCAUUAACUGAAUCCAUAGGUUAAUGAGGCGAACCGGGGGAACUGAAACAUCUAAGUACCCCGAGGAAAAGAAAUCAACCGAGAUUCCCCCAGUAGCGGCGAGCGAACGGGGAGGAGCCCAGAGCCUGAAUCAGCAUGUGUGUUAGUGGAAGCGUCUGGAAAGGCGCGCGAUACAGGGUGACAGCCCCGUACACAAAAGCGCAUGUGCUGUGAGCUCGAUGAGUAGGGCGGGACACGUGGUAUCCUGUCUGAAUAUGGGGGGACCAUCCUCCAAGGCUAAAUACUCCUGACUGACCGAUAGUGAACCAGUACCGUGAGGGAAAGGCGAAAAGAACCCCGGCGAGGGGAGUGAAAAAGAACCUGAAACCGUGUACGUACAAGCAGUGGGAGCACAGGUUUACCUGUGUGACUGCGUACCUUUUGUAUAAUGGGUCAGCGACUUAUAUUCUGUAGCAAGGUUAACCGAAUAGGGGAGCCGGAGGGAAACCGAGUCUUAAUUGGGCGUUAAGUUGCAGGGUAUAGACCCGAAACCCGGUGAUCUAGCCAUGGGCAGGUUGAAGGUUGGGUAACACUAACUGGAGGACCGAACCGACUAAUGUUGAAAAAUUAGCGGAUGACCUGUGGCUGGGGGUGAAAGGCCAAUCAAACCGGGAGAUAGCUGGUUCUCCCCGAAAGCUAUUUAGGUAGCGCCUCGUGAAUUCAUCUCCGGGGGUAGAGCACUGUUUCGGCUAGGGGGCCAUCCCGGCUUACCAACCCGAUGCAAACUGCGAAUACCGGAGAAUGUUAUCACGGGAGACACACGGCGGGUGCUAACGUCCGUCGUGAAGAGGGAAACAACCCAGACCGCCAGCUAAGGUCCCAAAGUCAUGGUUAAGUGGGAAACGAUGUGGGAAGGCCCAGACAGCCAGGAUGUUGGCUUAGAAGCAGCCAUCAUUUAAAGAAAGCGUAAUAGCUCACUGGUCGAGUCGGCCUGCGCGGAAGAUGUAACGGGGCUAAACCAUGCACCGAAGCUGCGGCAGCGAACGUAUCACUUAAAGCGAUUCAGCGGGUUACGAUUGACGGAGCGAAGCGACGUCAAAGCGUAUACAAAGUCGAGUCGGUUUAAGGAUACGUUCGUUGGGUAGGGGAGCGUUCUGUAAGCCUGUGAAGGUGGCCUGUGAGGGUUGCUGGAGGUAUCAGAAGUGCGAAUGCUGACAUAAGUAACGAUAAAGCGGGUGAAAAGCCCGCUCGCCGGAAGACCAAGGGUUCCUGUCCAACGUUAAUCGGGGCAGGGUGAGUCGACCCCUAAGGCGAGGCCGAAAGGCGUAGUCGAUGGGAAACAGGUUAAUAUUCCUGUACUUGGUGUUACUGCGAAGGGGGGACGGAGAAGGCUAUGUUGGCCGGGCGACGGUUGUCCCGGUUUAAGCGUGUAGGCUGGUUUUCCAGGCAAAUCCGGAAAAUCAAGGCUGAGGCGUGAUGACGAGGCACUACGGUGCUGAAGCAACAAAUGCCCUGCUUCCAGGAAAAGCCUCUAAGCAUCAGGUAACAUCAAAUCGUACCCCAAACCGACACAGGUGGUCAGGUAGAGAAUACCAAGGCGCUUGAGAGAACUCGGGUGAAGGAACUAGGCAAAAUGGUGCCGUAACUUCGGGAGAAGGCACGCUGACACGUAGGUGAAGUGAUUUACUCACGGAGCUGAAGUCAGUCGAAGAUACCAGCUGGCUGCAACUGUUUAUUAAAAACACAGCACUGUGCAAACACGAAAGUGGACGUAUACGGUGUGACGCCUGCCCGGUGCCGGAAGGUUAAUUGAUGGGGUCAGCGCAAGCGAAGCUCCUGAUCGAAGCCCCGGUAAACGGCGGCCGUAACUAUAACGGUCCUAAGGUAGCGAAAUUCCUUGUCGGGUAAGUUCCGACCUGCACGAAUGGCGUAAUGAUGGCCAGGCUGUCUCCACCCGAGACUCAGUGAAAUUGAACUCGCUGUGAAGAUGCAGUGUACCCGCGGCAAGACGGAAAGACCCCGUGAACCUUUACUAUAGCUUGACACUGAACAUUGAGCCUUGAUGUGUAGGAUAGGUGGGAGGCUUUGAAGUGUGGACGCCAGUCUGCAUGGAGCCGACCUUGAAAUACCACCCUUUAAUGUUUGAUGUUCUAACGUGGACCCGUAAUCCGGGUUGCGGACAGUGUCUGGUGGGUAGUUUGACUGGGGCGGUCUCCUCCUAAAGAGUAACGGAGGAGCACGAAGGUUGGCUAAUCCUGGUCGGACAUCAGGAGGUUAGUGCAAUGGCAUAAGCCAGCUUGACUGCGAGCGUGACGGCGCGAGCAGGUGCGAAAGCAGGUCAUAGUGAUCCGGUGGUUCUGAAUGGAAGGGCCAUCGCUCAACGGAUAAAAGGUACUCCGGGGAUAACAGGCUGAUACCGCCCAAGAGUUCAUAUCGACGGCGGUGUUUGGCACCUCGAUGUCGGCUCAUCACAUCCUGGGGCUGAAGUAGGUCCCAAGGGUAUGGCUGUUCGCCAUUUAAAGUGGUACGCGAGCUGGGUUUAGAACGUCGUGAGACAGUUCGGUCCCUAUCUGCCGUGGGCGCUGGAGAACUGAGGGGGGCUGCUCCUAGUACGAGAGGACCGGAGUGGACGCAUCACUGGUGUUCGGGUUGUCAUGCCAAUGGCACUGCCCGGUAGCUAAAUGCGGAAGAGAUAAGUGCUGAAAGCAUCUAAGCACGAAACUUGCCCCGAGAUGAGUUCUCCCUGAGACUUAGAGUCUCCUGAAGGAACGUUGAAGACGACGACGUUGAUAGGCCGGGUGUGUAAGCGCAGCGAUGCGUUGAGCUAACCGGUACUAAUGAACCGUGAGGCUUAACCUU
rnacentral:rRNA from 1 species